UACAUUGUUACAGUGUAUAUCAUCGUGAGUGGGCAUACAUUAUUACAGUGUAAUACAAUGUAUAUCAUCAUGAGUAGGAAUACAUUGUCACAGUGUACAUCAUCAUAAGUUGGCAUACAUCAUUAUAAUCUAAUACAAUGCAUAUCAUCAUGAAUGGGCAUACAUUAUUACAUUAUUAGGUUAUAUUUGCAAACAUUUGAAUUUGCGACAGAAAGGAUUCUGUUUCUAUAUUAACAGUGAUUUAAUUAAUCGUGGAAAAAGGAUCGUACACACAACAAAAAUAUUAAUACUGUCAAUCAAUCUAUCUUAUGUAUAUUUUACAUUGUGAACUAUGUAUCAAGGUUUUGUCAAGUUUCAAUAAUACAGUAAUAGAAUUAUCAAGGAAGAAUUAAAUUUACAAAGAUUCUCCUCGAGUAUUAAUCAUUAAUGAGAAUAAAGUGUUUAAGAGAACUCCCUGAAUCAAAUAAACAGACAGCAUUAGGAAAGAUGAGUGAACAAGACGUGGAUAUAGGUAUGAUACGAAUACCUCAACCCCUCACACGCUCAUCUAAUGGUCGAGUGAACAAGACGUGGAUAUAGGUAUGAUACGAAUACCUCAACCCCUCACACGCUCAUCUAACGGUUGAGUGGACAAGACGUGGAUAUAGGUAUGAUACGAAUACCUCAACCCCUCACACGCUCAUCUAACGGUUGAGUGGACAAGACGUGGAUAUAGGUAUGAUACGAAUACCUCAACCCCUCACACGCUCAUCUAACGGUUGAGUGGACAAGACGUGGAUAUAGGUAUGAUACGAAUACCUCAGCCCCUCACACGCUCAUCUAACGGUUGAGUGAACAAGACGUGGAUAUAGGUAUGAUACGAAUACCUGAACCCCUCACACGCUCAUCUAAUGGUUGAGUGAACAAGAAGUAGAAAGUGGAGAGCAAAUAAAGAAAGCCUUAGGGAAGUGACGUAGAUAUAGGUAUGAUAGGAACUCAGGCAUGUAAAGCAGGUGUUGUGUGUUAAGGUGUGGUCAUGUCAAAGUCACGUCCGACUGGUUUGGUCACAUUCCACAGAACACGUGUACACUUACUGGAUCAGGUUACGUAUACAACAGGUCACACAAGUCAUGUAAAACAGAGCAAACUCC